rnacentral:rRNA from 1 species
GAUGAACGCUGGCGGCGUGCCUAACACAUGCAAGUCGAGCGGGGAUAUUGGAAGAUAUUCGUAUCGGAAGAUAUUCUAGCGGCGGACGGGUGAGUAACACGUGAGCAACCUACCUUUUGCAGGGGAAUAACAGUGGGAAACCACUGCUAAUACCGCAUAACAUCACGAGGGGACAUCCUCUUGUGAUCAAAGGAGAAAUCCGGCAGAAGAUGGGCUCGCGUCCGAUUAGUUAGUUGGCGGGGUAACGGCCCACCAAGACCGCGAUCGGUAGCCGAACUGAGAGGUUGAUCGGCCACAUUGGGACUGAGACACGGCCCAGACUCCUACGGGAGGCAGCAGUGGGGAAUAUUGGGCAAUGGGGGAAACCCUGACCCAGCAACGCCGCGUGAAGGACGAAGGCCUUCGGGUUGUAAACUUCUUUGAUCAGGGACGAAACAAAUGACGGUACCUGAAGAACAAGCCACGGCUAACUACGUGCCAGCAGCCGCCGUAAAAC